CUGGGGCUUCCCGCCGAGUCGUGGGAAUGACUUCGGCGGAUCGCUAGUUAGCAUAGUUUAGGGUUAGAACUAGGGCGGUAUCUGAUCGCCUUCGAUCCUCUAACUUUCGUUCUUGAUUAAUGAAAACAUUCUCGGCAAAUGCUUUCGCAGUAGUUAGUCUUGCGACGGUCCAAGAAUUUCACCUCUAGCGCCGCAAUACUAAUGCCACCGUCUGUCCCUUUUAAUCAUUACCUCGGUUCAUUAAAACCGACAAAAAGAACAGAAUCGAGGUCCUGUUACUUCAUUCCAUGCACAGACAUUCCGGCCGUGUUAAAGCCCGCUUUAAGCACUCUAAUUUUUUCAAAGUGAACGUGUCGGCCACCCUGGAACACUCGGUAAAGAGCACUCCGAGCGAGCCGACAAAAUUUUAAUUGUACCAAACGCGGGCGAGCUAUACUCGAAGACAGAGAGUCGGCCGUCCGCUAGAAGGUUGGUCAUCGCGAACCCACGUUGCUCCUAUCGGUAGGCACAAAGCCGAUGCAACGCCCGCGCUAUUAUAGAAUAAUCACGAACGCACACCGACCCGGCUAGCCUUAGUAAACAUACGCCGAAACGCAAAGUUAUCUAGUGACUGACGCGACACUCCAGAGCGACGAGCGACUCACCCACGAAAUGGAUCUAGAAAGUCCAACUACGAGCUUUUUAACCGCAGCAACUUUAAUAUACGCUAUUGGAGCUGGAAUUACCGCGGCUGCUGGCACCAGACUUGCCCUCCAAUGGAUCCUCGUCCAAAGAUUUAGGAUGGACUCAUUCCGAUUGCGAGGCCUCGGAAGAGUCUCGCAUCGUUAUUUUUCGUCACUACCUCCCCGGGCUGGGAGUGGGUAAUUUGCGUGCCUGCUGCCUUCCUUAGAUGUGGUAGCCGUUUCUCAGGCUCCCUCUCCGGAAUCGAACCCUGAUUCCCCGUUACCCGUUACAGCCAUUGUAGGCGUUUAACCUAGAAUCGAAAGCUGAGAGG
rnacentral:rRNA from 1 species